UUGUAGCAAAACUGUUUUUUGAGUUACUAGUCAAAAAUAUCUUUUAAUGACAAAAAUACUAAUUACUUUGUAAUGGCAAUUGGAAUGAUAUUAACUCCUAUUUAUUGAUUAUCUAUGUCAUGCCAAAUGUUGUAUGGAUACAAGAUAUUUAAUGAUCCAAACUCCUCUUUUCUUUUUUUCUUUUUUUUUUCUUCUUCUUUUUAUUUAAAUUCUGGACCGCGAGAGUUAUUUCUUUCAAUCUCUACAUGUUUACCAAAUACUAGGUAUUGAUAUGUACCUCGAUAUUAUUCUUUCACAAUCACUUGACAAUGUCUAAGCUAUU
rnacentral:lncRNA from 1 species